AUGAGCAGCCUCCGAGCCACCUCCGCCCUCCUCCACACCUACUACACUUCGUCCGCCGCUGCCUGCCGGGUCGGCGCCAGGCGGCUCGGCGGGAGCUUCCGCGUCCCGUCCAAGGCGUCGUCCGCCUUCGUGCUCGACGAGGUCGCGAGGGCGGCCGGGGGCGUGCGGAGGAGGGCCGCCACGCGCGCGGCGAGCUGGGAUUCGGAGAAGUCCCCGUACGAGACGCUCGAGCUGGAAAGGGAUGCCGACGAGGAAACCAUAAAGGUCGCAUACAGGAGAUUGGCCAAGUUCUAUCACCCUGAUGUUUAUGAUGGUAAGGGAACCCUUGAGGAAGGAGAGACUGCUGAAGCCCGUUUCAUCAAAAUCCAAGCAGCAUAUGAGCUGUUGAUUGAUGACGAAAGGAGAAAGGCAUACGAUAAAGAGCAUUUUGUGAAUCCAAUGAAGGCUUCUCAGGCAUGGAUGGAGUGGGUGAUGAAAAAGCGAAAAGCUUUUGAUAAACGUGGCGACAUGGCAGUAGCUGCUUGGGCCGAGCAACAGCAACGAGAAUUGACGCUUCGGGCGCGACGUCUCUCUAGGUCGAAGGUUGACCCAGAGGAGGAAAGGAGAUUACUCGCCAAGGAAAGGAAGGCAUCGAUGGAGUUCUACAGCACAACUCUAAAAAGACAUACCCUCGUAUUACGGAAGAGAGACAUCAUGCGCAAGAGAGAAGAGGAAGACAAGAUGAGUGAGAUCAGUAGACUUCUAGCUGCCGAGGGGCUUGAGUUAGAUACAGACGAAGAUGAUGAUGACACAACUUUCUUGAAGUAA
rnacentral:rRNA from 1 species